GGAAGGGGAGGAAAGGAAGAACACGCCUGAUUUCUUCUAAGUGAGAUCCCUCAUCUUGUGAACCUUCAGGAGGAAACGAGUGAUGUGGGGUCUGAAGGAAACCUAAUUCAGUGCUAUGCACUAUUCUGUGGCUGCCUGUUGUUGAUACAGAACUGAAGAUGCAGCACAUGUGCUCAGAGAGAUGGAACAACUGCCAUGCUACAUACUGCAGCUGUCCAGGAAUGCCAAGUGUGUACCUGGCUGAGAGCACACAGGAACAGCAGUGCUGGCAGUGAAGGGAAACCCACAUCUCCCAAGUGCCACCAGCAGCUCCUCCAAAGAUUGCUCUGGUUGCUGUGUGAAGUGGAGGCCGUGCUGGGGACAGGGCUUGCUGCAGCUGAUGGAGUGUUCUGGAGGUAGUUCUGCUGCUUCAAUCACAGUAAUGCUGGAGCUCUUCAGAAAGCAUAACAUCAUGGGACCUGCAUUUUAUCUUUUGUGGCUCUUCCUUCUUCCAUGUCCCUGAGAUGAUGAACCAGGACAAGGAUGUGAUUAGUGUUUUCUGCCAUGGGAUGUCAGCUGAGGGGUAAGAAUUGUGUGCCAACAGGAAGAAAGAGCCACCAGAGAUGGGUGAAGAGUGUCCUUUCAAGCAUGAAGCACAGCAAGUCCAAAACAGAUCCCCAUUCUCCUUGGGGAUCAACCUGCAGGGUCAAUGAGAGAAACAGAACAAGUCCUCAGGACUCUCAAGAGCUAAACUGCAAAACCACGGGCUUCAGCAAAACCCUUCGAGCCAGCCCAUCUCCCAGCAGAGCCUCUGUCCCUUUCUCUCAACUCAGGGCUGGAAACAAUGACAGGAUAUUCUCUGCAGCCUGCCUGACAUCCAACAGUGGCAAAGAACCAAAGCACGAUCCAGGCAUUGCCUGCUGCUGGGCUUAUUUCACAGGCACUCAGGAACAGUAAAAAGAGUGCUGAGAUCACAGACUUCACUUUUCAUUUAAACCCCCUUUUUUAGGGAUGGAGCCAGAGUUGGCCAUGCAAAGGAGAAUCCAGCUCCAAGGACUCCAAGGAAACAGAUCCUUCAAGAUAUUUAAUGCUGAAUGAAGCAGGGAGGGAUUCAGCAUGAAGCCACAGAACCAAUUUUGAGGAAGAAAAGCAGCUUUUCUCCUGCCCACCACCUCUGUGAACUGAGGGGGAAAGAUUGUCCAUCACUGCCAGUCCCUUCAGGUCAGCACCCAGGGCAAAGACCACUGGGUGUUCAAUGGUCUCUUGGAGCACAGUUCUGUUUAGGUUGAAUGCUGCUGAUCCCAGCCUGUCUUCAGCACAUGGAGGCUUUCAACCCCUCAGCUGGAGGGGAGAGCACCAGCUUGCUGCUGCUGAGGACACUGCCACCAUUCAUUCAUGUGCCUGCUCAGGGCACAGGCUGUAAACACAGUAGGGAAGCCAGGCCACAUCCCGGACCAGUUUGGCUGCUGGCCUUGAGGUCCCCAUCACCCAGAAUUUGGAGCUUCUUUUUCUAUUACGUGUAAGCAGCAAUGGUGAAUGUUUUGGUAAUCUUUCCUAAAAAUAAGAAUGUCAACAGAAGUAGCUGUUUAAUAGCAUGAGUCUGUGCAUCUUUGAGCCCUCAGCAAUCCACAAGCUGGGAAGAGAAAUGACUAAAUAGCUCUUGAGUGUCCAGAUACUCUGAGAAGCUCCCUUACUGCACAUGGACCAGCUCACCAGCAUCACCUGGGGCAGGAGGGCUGGUUGGGGACUGUUUUCCCUACCUCCCUAGGCAAACAGCCACCUGCUCUUCAGCCUAUUUGUCUGUUACUCUGGUUGAUAGAAAAGUCUGUAUCUGAAAAAAGAAACUCAACUUGUGCCAAGAUGCCUCCAGUGUGGCAGCGAAUGGACUGGUUAUUGUUCCUUCAUUUAAGUAGGGUGUUAGUUUUCUGUUCUGGUUUUCGUGGGGAAAGAAGUCAAAGGACACAGGCACACUAUGCUAGGCAAGACUUUGCUAUUUAGGGAUGCACAAAUCUGGUCCAGUUUACGAUAACCUUAAAUGUCAGGGAGCGGCUUCUGAAGGAGAACACUGGAGCUGUCUCGACAGCAGCACUGUGCAGCAGCACAGGGGUGAGAACAGAGGGCAGGUACUUUGUGCAUCCUUUUAGUAGAUGUGUGGUUGAGAGGGGGUGUAAGGAUAACAAAAUUAACUCCUACUUGCAGUUCAGGCAGUGUUAAACCCCUGCAGUUCACAUAUUUGGGGAAUGACCCUACCUGGCACCCUUGCUUGCCUAUGUUAGGCCCUGAUCUAUUCCCAUCAAAAUCCCUGGAUGUAUCCUUUAUAGGAACUUCUCCCUUUUAUUGAGCUUUCCCCCACCAGCUGAUGACAGGUGCUGGGGUGGUUAAAGCAUUAGCAUAAGCUACGUUAACCCAUCUUGUGUGCCUCAUCUGUAAGUUGGCAGGUCUGAUGGGUGUGCUGCAUGGUUACAGAGUAGUGCUCUCCGUAUGGGAACAGGGCAUCCGAGGACAACAGGAGGACAGUGAAAGCCUUGUCAUACAGCCUGAAAUCUCACAGCAAGUGUCUAUUAAUAUGCCAUGCCUACACUUCCUCCAGAUGUGCAGUUCCUGCUGGAGUGACUUCCUUCUCUUCAGCUGGAACCAGAGACAAAGGAAAGAAUCAUUGGUAAUGAGCUAUUUAUGGAGAAAUUAAUCUUGAUAUUUGCAUCACUGGUACAAGACAAGGCAGCGACACAACUUUCCUACUGUGGUUAAGGGUAGCACUCAGAGCAUGUUGGGAGCCUCAAAGUCCUGUGAAUGGGGCACUCGUCUGAACCUGACUGCAGUGAGACAGAUGCCAGAUAAGGGUUGUGAUCCUCGCCUUUGUGUUGGGCUGUAAUGGCUGUGGAAUGGGUUGCCAGAAGCACUGGGCAGUGGGCAGCAGCUGUGGUGGUGCCAUGGAGCCCACACUGGUGGCAGCGCUGCCUUGACACUGGUGAAGCAGCCCCAGGAUGGUGAGCUUUCUUCCUGCCACCAGCCGGGCUGCAGCAUCCCCACACUGCUCUUAUCCGAUCCCCCCGGCUGUCCAGCCAGAGAUGCACAACACGUGUCUGCAUGCAGUGGCUGUGCUGCUGUUCCACCCUGAGCCCGUUGUUCUGCUGCUGCUUCCAUACUGCUGGUUUUGCAGUGCCACCCACUGGCAGAGGCUCCCCAGAAAUCCUCGUCGGCUUUUCGCUGCCGCAGGUGAUGCUCCAGAGAUGAAGCAUUAGAAGGAAGGCUCUGGUGAGUGUAUUUCACACGGUGCAUCCCAUGGGUGUUGGUCCGUACACCUGGAAGCAUUCUAGCAUUCUUUCCAGUGUAUCCCACUGUAUGUUGAGCCCAAACUGCAAGAUCACAGGGUUGGCAGAGUCCUGGGUGUCAGUUCGUACUGGCGCACCCUAACUGGCCAUCCUGCCUGCAGUGUGGCAGGGCAGGCAGCAGCAGGAAGGUGGUUUCCCAUCCCUGCUUGCUGGAUCUGCCGAAUCAGUUUAUGUAGGUUCUGCGUUCCUGUUUUCUUCUGCAGAAUAAAAUACAACCCAAUGGCUGGUACCAAAAUCCAUGCAGUACAUAAGGAGCAUUCAUUCCAGUUGGAAGUGUGCUCCUGGGGAUGCAGGCUUGGGGCCUUUUGUGGGAGAGGAUGCUUUGGAGCCACUUUGUUAAACAGCCUGAUCUCCCCAGAUUUGCCUUGUCCCUUUCUGACCAUAUUUGUACUCUCACCUCCAUCCCCAGUUUAAUGCCCAAUGUGAUCCUAGUCAGGAAACAAGCAGUGAAGAGACAGUGAUGCCGUUCUCAGGGUUUGUGCACAGUGAGCCACCACACGCUGGAAACUGCUGCCAGGCUGGUACCCAGUCAAGGCAGCUGAAAUCAGCUCCCUGCCCAGAUGCGAUUGCCAUGUUGCAGCAGCAGCAGCACAGAUGGACUGUCAGGAACCUUCUCCCCAGCCUCCUAAUAGGCACUGAGUGCUUGUUUAAAACAAAGCCUGACAAGUGGCAUGUUGGGGGCGUCAAGUCCUGGAGCACUGUCUUCCGACUGCAAAGGCACCGGAGGGGAGCCAGGCACAGCCUCCCAGAUGACAGUAAUUAAAGGCUUUUGCACUCAGGCAGUGGGAGCUGCUCCUCUUGCAAAUUGGCCUUGAUUGAAGAGGAAGAGAAUGAUUAGGCUGAAGGGGAGUGAUGGAGGUGGUGGGUGAAAACACGGAGGUAAGUCUCAUUUUGUCUUCUGGGGGUUUCUUCCCCUUCUUCCUCUCACCCAAACUGUGUCCAUGUGGAUGGAGGAAGCAGUGCUCCAGCUCUGCCCAGCCUUGGCUGGCUCUGCCUGAGCCCCUCAGGGGGUGUUAAGCUGAAAAGGAGCAACUCUGUUCUGGUCCUGCCUGUGCAGCCCCAAAGUAUCACCCAGCACCUUGUGCAGCUGCCCUCCUCCAAUAAAAUCCCAGAGCUGGAUGGCACCAGGGUCACCCAUCACUUUGCAGGGCUGGCAAAGGGGUUAACCCCUCAUCUGGCCUAUACCCCACCUCCAUAUGGGUCUAUGCCCCUAUACCCCCAUAAGGGUUCACAGCUUUUUCCCAUACUUGAAUUAGAAAAGGAACAUUGAUAGCUUGUUCAAUGCAGAUUUUGCCACAUUAUUUGUUUUAACCCCUGUAUUUGAUGAAAUUGAAUGUAUUUGAGUUCAGUGCUAAGCCAUGCAUCAACAUGAGCAGUUCCUGCAGGGUAGCUGUCAGCAUUACAGAAAUAUGCUCCCUUCUCUUCCUAAAGCUUUGUCUCUUCUCAGACCCAUGAGCACCAUGGCUCUGGCUGUCUUGGCUGCUGGGGUACUCCAUGGAGCAGUUUGUCUUGAAGUCACUGUGGCCUGAGCAGGAUGCUACCUCCAAACCCAACCAGCUGCUCCACAGCACAGGGCCAAGGAACCAGGAACCCCAAACAAACCUAUCACAAGUGGUAAUAUACAUUGGUGAGGCACUGCCAAACCCCUGAGAGCUGUCCACAGACAAAAGGGGUCAGGUCAUUCUUUGCACAGCCCUGCAACUGCUUGGUGCAGGGUUUCUUCUGAAGACAUAAGGGUUUAGACCUGCAAGAGGAACUGCAUGGGUUUUGCAGUCCACAUGCUCAGGUUGGAUACUGGGAAACGCUGUUUGGUGAUGCAGGGGGCAGAAGACCAUAGAAAGCCACCUCUCUCCAGCUUCUCUCUGCUCUUCCUCUGGUUUAGCUGAGGUUUAAAGGUCUGGAAAUACAUCCUAAAGUUUCAAGGCAAUCUUCCUUGUGUCAUCCCUUGUCGGGCUGAGUUCCCAGAGCAAAAGGAAAUGGUGGCUGUUCACAGAGCACAUUGCCCUCAGUGUCACAGUGAUGGCAUUUGGGGACCGGGAGAAAAACCCUACCUUGACUCAUGGGGAGGCAGAGAGCAGGCAGAACCAGGCAGCAACUCUUAAACUGGGAUGCUGUCCUGUAUGAGACAAGCUCUCCUUUUCUGCUGACAAAAUUGCCUGGAUCAAAGUUUCACAGCCACUCUUGCCAUCCCAGCAUGCACUAAGCUGUAAGUCAUUCACAUUAGUUUUCUCCAUAGCUACCUCAGUGCCUGAGUGGAUUAUUGGAGUCCAGGGUAACUUGGGAGACACAUGGAAGCCAACAUCCACCUGCCAGCUGUAGAUGGGGUCCAUCCACUUCAAGGCAAUUGCAUCUUGGUCCAGACAGGCACCCAGCAGUAGCAUCCUGGCAGGUGACUUGAGGCGUCCAUCAGAUGGUGAGAUAGUGGAGAUCUCCAGAGACUUUUCCUACACAAGAUGUCUGCAGACUCCAAACUCUGAAUCUCCAUUUGUGGACUCUGAGCUCCUGACAUUGAUUUUACCACUGCAGUAACAGGGAAAAUUGUGUGAAUUGGUGGCAGAAGCAAGUUACAUGGUGAGAGUCUUCAGGUCCUCCAGGGCACUCUGGCAGCACAAGGCAUUUUUCCAGUCAAAGUAUCUUCAGCUGUUUAUGUCCAGUAGCUGUAAGAUUUGGGUAUCAGAUAUCCAUCCUCAAGUGAAUCUACUUUCCCCAGAUACCUGAGUGUCCAUCAAAUGAUUUCUGCUGGAACAUCUUUGCUGCCCAUAUAUCUUGGGCUCACACUUGUGCCUGUCCUGGCCAUCCUUGUACAUGGGGCAUCUGCCUGGCUGGAAGAUGACAGUGAGGGGUCCUAUAACCGGACCUUCACACGUGCUCCUUCCCUGCAUAGCUGCUUCCAGAAUCUCCAGGCUUCAAUCCAUUGGCUAUUUCAAGAUAAGAAGCAGCCUUCCAAGAGAGAUGUGCUGAUUGCAGUGAGCCCUGAGAGCAUGCACAGAGUGCACCAAGAGAAAGAACGUCUUGGAUUACAUUGCUGCAAAUGAAAGGUUUCAGUCAUGGUAUCAGAUGAGCUGCAGGUUCCCAUCUGAAAGCACAGCAAUCCUGGACUGAAAUGCAGCAGUCUGUACACAGAUACAACCCAAAUGCGGCAGUCUGUACACAGAUACAACCCAAAUGCGGCAGUCUGUACACAGAUACAACCCAAAUGUGGCAGUCUGUACACAGGUACAACCCAAAUGCAGCAGUCUGUACACAGGUACAACCCAGCAGGCUCAGGCGACCUUGGCUUUUGGUUCCCCUCUUUCUUUUCACACUUCCCCAUGGGAGAUGCCCUAGUCCAUAACCACAAAUGCCUCCCGGUGGCAUCACCACUGGCAGCCCCCCAGCCAGCACUGACAGCCAGUAUCACAAAGCUCCCUGUGGCUGGAGUAGCAGAAGCUACCAUGAGACUUAAUUCCAGCCCUUGGCCAUCAGCAGGUAGAUCCACUCCCCUCCCUCUGACUGGGCUGCCUGUGCCAGCAACGCCUGGCCUUGUUGUCAUCAAAGGAAAACCACAUUAGUGUUCUGGUUUAGUGGGCACCUUGGCAAAGCAGCUGCACCAUGGGUAGACAGUUCCAUUUGCCCAUCUUAGUGACCAUUUUACUGUCUUUCAGGUACUAAAUUGUCUAAGACUUGGGUCUGUAUAUUUAGCAGGAGGGAGACUUUCACCUUGUGGGCCCAGGAGCAGCAGGUCUGGGGGGUCCUGAAAGUGGCACAGCCAAAGCUGCUUGUUGUCAGAGUUUGAAAGUGAGCAGAGCCAUUCACAGCCUUUCUGCAAGGGUCUGUGUUCCAUGCAAAUGAGCGUUUAAUCUGCUGCGAGGAAAACACGCUCUGUGUGAUUUUAUUCAUAGACUCACAGGCACUAGAAUUGCUCUGUUGAUGGGGAGCCUUGGUGUGGGGAACAGACUGUGUUGGUGAGGAACCAUGUUAUGGGGGGAACUCUGUUCGUGCUGGACCGUGU